rnacentral:rRNA from 1 species
UGGGGAAUUUUGGGCAAUGGCCGAAAGGCUGACCCAGCGACGCCGCGUGUGGGAGGAAGCCCUUCGGGGUGUAAACCACUGUCAGGGGGGACGAAAGAGGUGGGCGGUAAUCCUGCUCACCAGUGACGGUACCCCCAAAGGAAGCGCCGGCUAACUCUGUGCCAGCAGCCGCGGUAAUACAGAGGGCGCAAGCGUUGUUCGGAAUUACUGGGCGUAAAGCGCGCGCAGGCGGAACGGUAAAGUCCGGAGUGAAAUCUCGCCGCUCAACGGCGAGGCUGCUUUGGAUACUGACGAUCUAGGGACCGGUAGAGGCUGGUAGAAUUGCAGGUGUAGCGGUGGAAUGCGUAGAGAUCUGCAAGAAUACCCGUGGCGAAGGCGGCCAGCUGGGCCGGGUCCGACGCUGAGGCGCGAAAGCGUGGGGAGCAAACAGG